CUAAGAAUCUCAGAAAUCCUUUAAACAUCGUGCGGUCAUGAAUCAUUAUAAAUUUUUUUAUUUAAAAUUAAAUAUAAAAAAUACUUAAUAAAAACUGAUUGUUUAAUACACAAUAAAUGAAUAUGAUUUAAGAAUAUUGAGAAUUCUCAAAAAAAAUAUCCGAAAAGAAUCCUAGUAAAUAACAACAAACGAAGGUCGUUUUAUUUCACGACAAUGCGCGGUCAAGAGCGAAAUCCGACCCGACAGUUCACACACGCAUGUGUGUAAAAAAAAGAAAAAAAAAAAAAAUUGAAAACGAGUUAGCGUGCCAACAAAGGGAGAGAGAAAAUUCAACGAGUGGAUGGCGGGUCGACUCAUCAUCCUUGAAAAUUUCCCCCAAAAUUGGACGGACAGUUAGGGGUGGGAGAUAAUUUCUGAGAAAGCUUCAGAGUCAAGGCACAGAAAAAAGAGAGGGAGAGAGCCAGGGGUCUUCUUCUCUCUCUAACAUUCUGAACGGUUUUCUUCUAGAGAGAGAAAGAGAGAGAAGGCAAUUCGCAUGGAUCAGAUUUUGAACAAGGCGGGAUCCUACUGGUUCAACCAGAAGGCCACCAAGGAGCUCGGCUCCGUCGGUGACGACCUCAACUCAUUGCAAAACAGCGUCGAAGGAGGAGCCAAAUGGUUGGUUAAUAAAUUCAAAGG